AAAAAGAAAUGAAAAAGAAAAGAAAAGCUGGGCAUGGUGGCACACACCAGUAAUCUCAGCACUCAGGAGGCUGAGGCAGGAGGAUCACCAUGAGUUCGAAGCCAGUCUGGACUACACAGCAAGAUCCUGUCUCAAAAAACAAAGGGAUAACAUCUUCCAUGCCAGGCCCAGGGUCCCACACCUGUAAUCCCAGCUACUCUCCGGGCUGAGGCAGGAGAUGCUGUCUGGCGUGUGCCAGCUGCUGGCGUCUCUUGCAGGUCAGAGCACCCACAAGAGGAUGCAGUGGUGGCUCCAGGCCUGCAUGUUCACCCUGGCCCUGCUGCUGCGCCUGGGCCCUGGG
ensembl:lncRNA